GUCGAGCGAGGUAGAGAGCUUGCUCUCGAAGCCUAGCGGCGAACGGUCGCGUAACACGUAAGCAAUCUGCCCUGAAGUUGGGGAUAGCCCUCCGAAAGGAGGAUUAAUACCGAAUGUGGACAACGAUUGACAUCUUUUGUUGUCUAAAGUGGUAACACGCUUCAGGAUGAGCUUGCGGCCUAUCAGCUAGUUGGUGAGGUAACGGCCCACCAAGGCGACGACGGGUAGCUGGUCUGAGAGGAUGGUCAGCCGGACUGGGACUGAGAUACGGCCCAGACUCCUACGGGGGGCAGCAAUUAGGAAUCUUGCGCAAUGGGCGAAAGCCUGACGCAGCGACGCCGCGUGACUGAUGAAGUUCUUCGGAAUGUAAAGGUCUUUUCUGAGGGAAGAAGAAUGUGACGGUACCUCAGGAAUAAGCUCCGGCUAACUACGUGCCAGCAGCCGCGGUAAUACGUAGGGAGCAAGCGUUGUCCGAAUUUACUGGGCGUAAAGCGCGCGUAGGCGGGUUUUUAAGUUGGUGGUGAAAUCCCGAGGCUCAACCUCGGAACUGCCUCCAAAACUGGGAACCUUGAGGUAUGGAGGGGGAAGUGGAAUUCCAGGUGUAGCGGUGAAAUGCGUAGAUAUCUGGAGGAACACCCGUGGCGAAGGCGGCUUCCUGGCCAUAUCCUGACGCUGAGGUGCGAAAGCUAGGGUAGCGAACGGGAUUAGAUACCCCGGUAGUCCUAGCCGUAAACGAUGGAUACUAGGUGUUAGAGGUAUCGACCCCUCUAGUGCCGAAGCUAACGCAUUAAGUAUCCCGCCUGGGGAGU
rnacentral:rRNA from 1 species